rnacentral:rRNA from 1 species
UACGGAGGAGGCAAGCGUUAUCCGGAAUUAUUGGGCGUAAAGCGUCCGCAGGUGGCACUUCAAGUCUGCUGUCAAAGACCGGGGCUUAACCCCAGAAAGGCAGUGGAAACUGAAGUGCUAGAGUGCAGUAGGGGUAGAGGGAAUUCCCGGUGUAGCGGUGAAAUGCGUAGAGAUCGGGAAGAACGAUCGGUGGCGAAAGACGCUGACUGCGUGGACUAGCAACUGACAGCUCGAGGGACGAAAGACUAAGGGGAGCGAAGUG